rnacentral:rRNA from 1 species
GGAGGGAGGGGGGGGGGGGGGUCGGAGAAACAUGCAAGUCGAGCGGCAGCACGGGGAGCUUGCUCCCUGGUGGCGAGCGGCGGACGGGUGAGUAAUGCAUAGGAAUCUGCCCGGUAGUGGGGGAUAACGUGGGGAAACCCACGCUAAUACCGCAUACGUCCUACGGGAGAAAGCGGAGGCUCUUCGGACUUCGCGCUAUCGGAUGAGCCUAUGUCGGAUUAGCUGGUUGGUAAGGUAACGGCUUACCAAGGCGACGAUCCGUAGCUGGUCUGAGAGGAUGAUCAGCCACACUGGGACUGAGACACGGCCCAGACUCCUACGGGAGGCAGCAGUGGGGAAUAUUGGACAAUGGGCGAAAGCCUGAUCCAGCCAUGCCGCGUGUGUGAAGAAGGCUUUCGGGUUGUAAAGCACUUUCAGCGAGGAAGAAAGCCUUUGGGUUAAUACCCCAGAGGAAGGACAUCACUCGCAGAAGAAGCACCGGCUAACUCCGUGCCAGCAGCCGCGGUAAUACGGAGGGUGCGAGCGUUAAUCGGAAUUACUGGGGCGUAAAGCGCGCGUAGGUGGCUUGGCACGCCGGUUGUGAAAGCCCCGGGUCUCAACCUGGU